AUCUGAUGGUGAGGGUAGCUUGCACAUAGCUUCUUGAAUCUGUCCCAAUACUCAUACAAGCUCUCUCCAUCGAGCUGCCUAAUCCUAGAAAUGUCUUUUCUGAUAGCU
rfam:Vigna angularis cultivar Jingnong 6 chromosome 3, whole genome shotgun sequence.